rnacentral:rRNA from 1 species
CGACGUGGAUAACCUGCCUCACACAGGGGGAUAACAGUUGGAAACGGCUGCUAAUACCGCAUAAGCGCACAGCACCGCAUGGUGCAGUGUGAAAAACUCCGGUGGUGUGAGAUGGAUCCGCGUCUGAUUAGCUUGUUGGCGGGGUAACGGCCCACCAAGGCGACGAUCAGUAGCCGGCCUGAGAGGGCGACCGGCCACAUUGGGACUGAGACACGGCCCAG